UACAGAGGUCUCAAGCGUUGUUCGGAUUCAUUGGGCGUAAAGGGUGCGUAGGCGGCGCGGUAAGUCGGGUGUGAAAUCUCGGGGCUUAACUCCGAAACUGCAUUCGAUACUGCCGUGCUUGAGGACUGGAGAGGAGACUGGAAUUUACGGUGUAGCGGUGAAAUGCGUAGAUAUCGUAAGGAAGACCAGUGGCGAAGGCGGGUCUCUGGACCAAUUCUGACACUGAGGAGCGAAAGCCAGGGGAGCAAACGGG
rnacentral:rRNA from 1 species